CUCUCACAGGUUUGGGCAGUUGUAGUGUGAGGUGCUUGUGGCGAGGUGCUGCUUCAAAGCGGACAACAUGCAAAGGAGGACAGAAAGGAGGGAGGCCGCUCGCAGUUCCAGUGUUGUCUACGACGGUGCACAAAAAGGAGGAGGCGAGAUGGUGAAGAUCGACGUGUUGUCGCUGCCUCCUGGUGAGACUCCCACAACAUAUUAGAUGCGUACUCGCCUACCAUGUCCUCCCAACGCCAUUCGCCCAGCUCAAAUUUGGGGCACCCAAAUUUUCACCACAGGUGAAAAGGUCACUAACCACUCCCUAAUGGUAUUUCCAAGCAACUUCGAUGCUCAUGUAUACCAGCGUAAUGUUUCAACUUUCAACCAUGCAUAGCGAACGACAUCAUCUUUUGUCUACUUAAGAAGCCUUGGUCCUUCAUGAUUAUUUCAUGCUUUUGAUUGGAGAUAAAUAAUGCUUUAUGGUUUUGUAUUGCCACUCCUUACUAUUUGUCAAGAUCUAACUAUGAUUUGCAAUGCGGGAGCCUGGGUUAUCCAGUGAUUGGUCUCUUAAGUAAAAUAUAUGUGGCAUAAUUAGCUUUUCUAUUUCCAUGUCUUCUUCAAAGACUGAGCUUAUGCGUUGUUCUGUACCCCGGCCCCUGCAUGUAUUUCGUGAAGCGUCUGUGUAUAUUGAUGUUUUCCAUCUUCGUUCUUUCGGAAUCCCUUUUUCAAUUAUGCUGCCAUCUUAACUUGCAGAUUUGAGACAAGAUUACCCAACGAAAUUUACUCUACGUCUCCGGCAAUUUAGAUUAUUAGUAGUACAAUAUAAAUUUAUCAUACAUUGCCAGAAAAACAGCAAGCAACACUAGCCCUUCGUCAACUCUAAUAGUACUGCUGUACAUACUGAAGUUCAUUUGUUUCACUUCUUUUUUUAUAGCCAUGAAACAGCCUUGGUACGUUACUCAUUUUAGAUUCUUAGAUAUCUCUGCACAUGCUUCCAUGUGGUAGCCAUUGCUGUUUCGUUUCAUAAAAGUUACCAUAUUCGAGCAUUCUUAUAUGCAUAUUUGUUUCCUAGAUCUGUCAACACGAGUGUCUCCCUAAGGUCCUAAAACAUUUAUGGUGAAUUAUGUAUUACAACAAAAUCAUUCUGCGAAAAAAGCCCAUGUAGAAAAUUACCCGAUAUUCUCUCUUUUAUACUAAAAUCUAACAUAUAGUAAAUCGAGAAAAAAUAGCAUGUGCCAUCCGUAGCUCCUUACUGUUCUUUGCAUAUCGUAUAUUUAUAAUACAUGGAGCUUUACCAAUGUGUACUGUAUUUGAAAAAAUACGUGGAUUAUGGCAUCAAGGGUGAAAACAAAUAUGUAGUUGUAUAUGAUCUCCAAAUUUUGUUUCUCCUAGGUAUUUUAAGGAUACACAAAUGUAGUUGUAUAUAAUCUCCAAAUUCUAUUUCCUCAACAAGCUUCUAUAGUCCCCUUAAUUUCAUUUGCACAGUUGUUUUGAUAAAUUAGGUCUAGAUUCAUUGUGCCACUUCAUAUUUCAGAAUACAUGUGUGGGAACGAAGCAUAUAACUAAUAUAUUUUCAUGUUGUAAUUAUAAGAGGCUGAUUUCAUCUAUUCAUCGUUUCAUCCAUGUUGCAUGAAAAUGCCAAUUGUAUUUGAAGAAGAAAGAAACACUCAUUGUUUGAGUUCAGUCCAAUAUAUUGUAGCAGCAAAUAUUCUUAUCCCUGAAAAAAUAUCUCAAUUUUGAAUUAGUAUGAAUUUGCUAUGGCCCAUCCUAGAGAUAAUUAGACCGCUCCUGAAAUUAAGACUACACAUUGCUAAUGUCGCAAGUGUUUAAAAUGGCCACUCUGACUACAUUUUCAGCUAAGGGUUACUCAUUUAACUAAUACGUACUACACUUUGGAGUACCUUUCACGCCAAAUAAGAGUACUGUAUGCAGCAGUUUUAAGAAAACUUCUCUUUCCCUGAAGUUUCUCUUCCAAUUUUGUUUUCAUAUAAUCCAGAAAAAUCAUGUCUUAGGUGCAACAACAGAUCGAUUUGGUGUGCAAGAGGCUGAAUUUACUUGAUUUUUUUCUUUACCUCUCUGACAUGAUUAAUUUUCAUACCCAUAGGAUUAUGUACUUUACAACACUAUGGUUUCCUAUUAUCAGCAUUUUUAGGAUGGUAGGACCAAGUAUUGGAUGAUAUUUCACAACCUAAAUCAUUUUUAUCUUUUCUAAAAAUAAAGUUUAUUGAAUUUAAUACCUUAUGGAUCAAAUAAGUAUAUGGUAUUUACUUUUAGUAGGAAUGUAUGUAUGUUUGCCACGGGGAUACUGAGCCUUUGCAUAGUUUCAAGACCUAUCAAUUGUGAUUAAAUUAUCUUUAUCUCUAAUAACUAGCCCGUGCAGUCACACGGGUUGAUGACUAGUGACUGCUAAUGUGUGAACAAAUUUCAGAAUAGUGAAAUGCAUUUUUUGGCUAUGCAGAAAAUGUACUGCUAUAUGUGUGUAGUUAUACUGCUGGUGGUAUAUGUGUGCAAAUGUACCGCUAAUGGUUCAUAUGCGUAAACUUUUGUUGUAUGACAUAUAACAAAACUGGUUAUUCGUCUUUAUUAUAACUUGUCUUAACUAGGAAUAUUUGUGGCACUGUAGUACACGCACUAGCAAAAAAGAACAGACUAGGGGUGAGCUCGACUAUCAUCUCUUCCCCCUCCCCUAUUUGCUUUGUUUCGGUCGUUGUGCCGAUGCCAAUAGAUUUUGCUUUCAUGUCAAGUCUCAUAACCUAGGCGUCUCCCGUUCGAAAGGGCGACAUCUAUAAGAUUGUCCAUCUGGAGCCAUUUUAAACCUAGGCAUCUCCCGUCAUAAGAUUGUCCAUCUGGAGAGCGUCUCCCGUUCAAAAGGGCGACAUUUAUGGCCAUCUGGAGUGCACAAAUGAAACUUGCUUCAACAAAGUUGUAUAUUCAGUUAUUUCGCUUUGAGAUGUUGCUUGUCAUUUUAUUUGGUUGUCUUUUAAAGUUUUUCUACAUGUUCGAUCAUUACCAGAAAGUGAUCUUUUAAGCAAUAUCUUAUACACACUGACAUCAAGCUUAGAAGAUUCAGUAAAGAUUUAGGAUAUGAUUAUAGAUGUUUUGAGGAUCAUGUAGCAUGCUUUUCUUUACAGUCCACUUUUGCCGGAUAGAAUUUAUCUUAAUUUGGUGUGUUCAUGCUAACGAGACAUUGCAAAUGAUCUUUAAUUUGGUGCAACAUAACUCCCGACAAGCAUCGACGUCUGCCAUUGGCGCGACCAAGAACCCUGAUCCUCCUCCGUCAGCCACUACCGCGAGCAAGAGCCUUGAUCCUUCACCUACGGGUUGACGAUCACGGAAUCUUGGGUUGAUGGAGUGCUUGUCUUUAGUUUUUGUUUUGACUUUGUGAAACUUGCUACCUAUGAUGAAACUGUGUAAUAUUGAUGAAACUAUGUAUAUGUAUGGAUGAAACUUGCUACUAUUGGUAACAUGUGUUGGAUAUGUGUUCGAUA